AUUGAACGCUGGCGGCAUGCUUUACACAUGCAAGUCGAACGGUAACAGGCCUUCGGGCGCUGACGAGUGGCGAACGGGUGAGUAAUGCAUCGGAACGUGCCCGGUCGUGGGGGAUAACACUUCGAAAGAAGUGCUAAUACCGCAUACGAUCUGAGGAUGAAAGCGGGGGACCUUCGGGCCUCGCGCGAUCGGAGCGGCCGAUGUCAGAUUAGGUAGUUGGUGGGAUAAAAGCUUACCAAGCCAACGAUCUGUAGCUGGUCUGAGAGGACGACCAGCCACACUGGGACUGAGACACGGCCCAGACUCCUACGGGAGGCAGCAGUGGGGAAUUUUGGACAAUGGGCGCAAGCCUGAUCCAGCCAUUCCGCGUGCAGGAUGAAGGCCCUCGGUUGUAACUAGCUUUGUACGGAACGAAACGGUUACGUCUCUAAUACAGGGGCGUAAUGACGGUACCGUAAGAAUAAGACACCGGC
rnacentral:rRNA from 1 species